CUAAUACAUGCAAGUCGAGCGAACAGACGAGGAGCUUGCUUCUCUGACGUUAGCGGCGGACGGGUGAGUAACACGUGGAUAACCUACCUAUAAGACUGGGAUAACUUCGGGAAACCGGAGCUAAUACCGGAUAAUAUAUUGAACCGCAUGGUUCAAUAGUGAAAGACGGUUUUGCUGUCACUUAUAGAUGGAUCCGCGCCGCAUUAGCUAGUUGGUAAGGUAACGGCUUACCAAGGCAACGAUGCGUAGCCGACCUGAGAGGGUGAUCGGCCACACUGGAACUGAGACACGGUCCAGACUCCUACGGGAGGCAGCAGUAGGGAAUCUUCCGCAAUGGGCGAAAGCCUGACGGAGCAACGCCGCGUGAGUGAUGAAGGUCUUCGGAUCGUAAAACUCUGUUAUUAGGGAAGAACAAAUGUGUAAGUAACUAUGCACGUCUUGACGGUACCUAAUCAGAAAGCCACGGCUAACUACGUGCCAGCAGCCGCGGUAAUACGUAGGUGGCAAGCGUUAUCCGGAAUUAUUGGGCGUAAAGCGCGCGUAGGCGGUUUUUUAAGUCUGAUGUGAAAGCCCACGGCUCAACCGUGGAGGGUCAUUGGAAACUGGAAAACUUGAGUGCAGAAGAGGAAAGUGGAAUUCCAUGUGUAGCGGUGAAAUGCGCAGAGAUAUGGAGGAACACCAGUGGCGAAGGCGACUUUCUGGUCUGUAACUGACGCUGAUGUGCGAAAGCGUGGGGAUCAAACAGGAUUAGAUACCCUGGUAGUCCACGCCGUAAACGAUGAGCGCUAAGUG
rnacentral:rRNA from 1 species